rnacentral:rRNA from 1 species
GACGAACGCUGGCGGCGUGCUUAACACAUGCAAGUCGAACGGAAAGGCCCUGCUUUUGUGGGGUGCUCGAGUGGCGAACGGGUGAGUAACACGUGAGUAACCUGCCCUUGACUUUGGGAUAACUUCAGGAAACUGGGGCUAAUACCGGAUAGGAGCUCCUGCUGCAUGGUGGGGGUUGGAAAGUUUCGGCGGUUGGGGAUGGACUCGCGGCUUAUCAGCUUGUUGGUGGGGUAGUGGCUUACCAAGGCUUUGACGGGUAGCCGGCCUGAGAGGGUGGCCGGCCACAUUGGGACUGAGAUACGGCCCAGACUCCUACGGGAGGCAGUAGUGGGGAAUAUUGCACAAUGGGCGGAAGCCUGAUGCAGCAACGCCGCGUGCGGGAUGACGGCCUUCGGGUUGUAAACCGCUUUCGCCUGUGACGAAGCGUGAGUGACGGUAAUGGGUAAAGAAGCACCGGCUAACUACGUG